CUACCAGACUCCUACGGGAGGCAGCAGUGGGGAAUAUUGCACAAUGGGGGAAACCCUGAUGCAGCAACGCCGCGUGGGUGAAGGAGCGUUUCGGCGCGUAAAGCCCUGUCAGCGGGGAAGAAGAAAGACGGUACCCGACCAAGAAGCCCCGGCUAACUACGUGCCAGCAGCCGCGGUAAUACGGAGGAUGCGAGCGUUAUCCGGAUUUAUUGGGUUUAAAGGGUGCGCAGGCGGAAGAUCAAGUCAGCGGUAAAAUUGAGAGGCUCAACCUCUGCGAGCCGUUGAAACUGGUUUUCUUGAGUGAGCGAGAAGUAUGCGGAAUGCGUGGUGUAGCGGUGAAAUGCAUAGAUAUCACGCAGAACUCCGAUUGCGAAGGCAGCAUACCGGCGCUCAACUGACGCUCAUGCACGAAAGUGUGGGUAUCGAACAGGAUUAGAUACCCCCGUAA
rnacentral:rRNA from 1 species